rnacentral:lncRNA from 1 species
GGAAGCUUUUCUCAGACAUAAGCCAGUCCAGAGGGGGAAUCUGCUGAGCCACGCCCUACUCCUUCCCCUUUGUACCAGAGUUAAUCUCUCUUUGGUUCUUGCUCUGAUUUUAGUAGGGGUAUAAGAAAUAGUUAAUACAGCUGUUUCUCUUUAAAAGGAAGAAAGUGAUUGAAACUUGAAAAGCACCUGCAGAUGCAUUAGGUUCACAUAGCUAAGGCCUCUGUCAUCAGUUACUAGUUGCCUUCUUCCCCCCAGUCCUGCUCUCCAGAUGAGACCUUUUUUGGGGGGGGGGCAGUAUUGGGGAUUGAACCCAGAAGUACUUAACCACUGAGUUAAUGUCCCCCACCCAUUUUUACAUUUUAUUUAGAGUUGCUUAGGGCUUCGCUAAGUUACUGAGGCUGCUUUUUUUAAAAAAAUUGUUCAAAACAUUACAAAGAUCUUGACAUAUUUCAUACAUUUGAUUCAAGUGGGUUAUGAACUCCCAUUUUUACCCCAUAUACAGAUUGCAGAAUCACAUCGGUUACACAUCCACGUUUGAGGCUGCUUUUGAACUCAAGAUCUCUGGCCUUGGCUUCCUGAGUCAUUAGAAUUGCAAGCAUGCCUCACCGUGCGUAGCCACAGAGGAAACAUGGAGUGAGGUCUCAACAUCCUUCCAAGUGCCAUAUAUAGUAAAACCAGAUGUAGCUCCCUACCCUAGUAAAACAAUUUAAAAGUCAUAAAGUGAAAUUGUACCUUGUGUACAAUUUUACAAUCAAUGACUUAGGUAAAAAACUACUGUCAACUUAUACUUGAAACUA